AGAGUUUGAUCCUGGCUCAGGACGAACACUGGCGGCGUGCCUAAUACAUGCAAGUAGAACGCUGAAGAGAGGAGCCUGCUCUUCUUGGAUGAGUUGCGAACGGGUGAGUAACGCGUAGGUAACCUGCCUUGUAGCGGGGGAUAACUAUUGGAAACGAUAGCUAAUACCGCAUAACAAUGGAUGACCCAUGUCAUUUAUUUGAAAGGGGCAAAUGCUCCACUACAAGAUGGACCUGCGUUGUAUUAGCUAGUAGGUGAGGUAACGGCUCACCUAGGCGACGAUACAUAGCCGACCUGAGAGGGUGAUCGGCCACACUGGGACUGAGACACGGCCCAGACUCCUACGGGAGGCAGCAGUAGGGAAUCUUCGGCAAUGGGGGCAACCCUGACCGAGCAACGCCGCGUGAGUGAAGAAGGUUUUCGGAUCGUAAAGCUCUGUUGUAAGUCAAGAACGAGUGUGAGAGUGGAAAGUUCACACUGUGACGGUAGCUUACCAGAAAGGGACGGCUAACUACGUGCCAGCAGCCGCGGUAAUACGUAGGUCCCGAGCGUUGUCCGGAUUUAUUGGGCGUAAAGCGAGCGCAGGCGGUUUGAUAAGUCUGAAGUUAAAGGCUGUGGCUCAACCAUAGUUCGCUUUGGAAACUGUCAAACUUGAGUGCAGAAGGGGAGAGUGGAAUUCCAUGUGUAGCGGUGAAAUGCGUAGAUAUAUGGAGGAACACCGGUGGCGAAAGCGGCUCUCUGGUCUGUAACUGACGCUGAGGCUCGAAAGCGUGGGGAGCGAACAGGAUUAGAUACCCUGGUAGUCCACGCCGUAAACGAUGAGUGCUAGGUGUUGGAUCCUUUCCGGGAUUCAGUGCCGCAGCUAACGCAUUAAGCACUCCGCCUGGGGAGUACGACCGCAAGGUUGAAACUCAAAGGAAUUGACGGGGGCCCGCACAAGCGGUGGAGCAUGUGGUUUAAUUCGAAGCAACGCGAAGAACCUUACCAGGUCUUGACAUCCCGAUGCUAUUUCUAGAGAUAGAAAGUUACUUCGGUACAUCGGUGACAGGUGGUGCAUGGUUGUCGUCAGCUCGUGUCGUGAGAUGUUGGGUUAAGUCCCGCAACGAGCGCAACCCCUAUUGUUAGUUGCCAUCAUUCAGUUGGGCACUCUAGCGAGACUGCCGGUAAUAAACCGGAGGAAGGUGGGGAUGACGUCAAAUCAUCAUGCCCCUUAUGACCUGGGCUACACACGUGCUACAAUGGUUGGUACAACGAGUUGCGAGUCGGUGACGGCAAGCUAAUCUCUUAAAGCCAAUCUCAGUUCGGAUUGUAGGCUGCAACUCGCCUACAUGAAGUCGGAAUCGCUAGUAAUCGCGGAUCAGCACGCCGCGGUGAAUACGUUCCCGGGCCUUGUACACACCGCCCGUCACACCACGAGAGUUUGUAACACCCGAAGUCGGUGAGGUAACCUUUUGGAGCCAGCCGCCUAAGGUGGGAUAGAUGAUUGGGGUGAAGUCGUAACAAGGUA
rnacentral:rRNA from 1 species